UAUUCAUCCCCUUGCCUUCUCCUUUUAGUUUUCUCCCUUUCUAAAAAAUUCUGAUUCUCCGAUUCUAAUCUGAGCUUUGCUAAUGUUCGAUUGAUUGUUUCCCUUCAUGCGAUUACCUCCAACACAGUCUCUGCUUCUAUCGCUUCCCGCCCAAAACGCCAUAAAUCGACAACCCUAAUUCCAAUUUUACAGAUAAUGCAGAGGCGGAGUCGAAGAAAUCGAAGAGAGCUCCAGUGGAAUUAGUCAAGUAUCGUGGUCUUUCCUUACUACUCCAAAGUCCAUCGGCCAUGAGAUGAGUAAUACUAUAAUGUAUCUGCAAUGGUCUUUAUAUCUAACUCUGCAAUUCCAGUGUAUAUCUAUGAUUUAAUAAAGUGUUAUAUGCUUAUGCUCGUUUGUCUUGUUUUUAGCUAGGAUGUAACAUCGUAUAUGGAAUUUCCAGGAUGCUAUAAUGAGAUAGGUGAAUGAACAAACAAAUUUAGUUGUGUGGGAACACCGUGCAUCACUAGCUAUCUCCAAUCUCUUUCUUGAUGAGCUUCCUUUGUUGCAAACAAGAGGUGGUAUACUUCUUUGUGGCCCUCCAGGAGUGGGGAAGACAUUAUUAGCAAAAGCUGUUGCUGGUGAGGCAGGUGUAAACUUCUUCUCCAUAUCUGCAUCUCAGUUUGUCGAAAUAUAUGUGGGAGUUGCGCUUCUCGCGUACGAGCACUCUAUCAAGAAGCAAGGGACAAUGUGAGAUUUCAAUUCCUUUUAUCUGAUUGUGGUGAUUGUUGGGCCUCUUUGGAUCAAGCAAAUAGGUUUACUACUCAGAACGUGGAAUGCUUUUGAUACUCGAUUCCUAAAUUCUAAUAUUUUGUUAUGAUUCCACCUUUUAGUUAGCUUUUGGGAGGAGUUCCAUUCUUGAGUGCCUUAUGAUUUCUUAUAGGUUUGACCGGAGACCGUACAUAUUUACUCUCGUUGCUCAUUAAUUCUAAUAGUUGCUCCUUUUUGUCCAUGAGAUUUUGACUGCAUUUGUUCUUCAAAGACCAUGCAUUGUUGUUUUCUUACUUUCACAGAGCUUAUAUUUGUGGAAGUGAUGUGAUGUGCGUGAGUCAAGCAUUUGCAGGCUCCAUCUGUUGUUUUCAUCGAUGAACUGGAUGUUGAUGGAAGUGCACAUGGUUUGAUUAAGUGGUCUGGUGGGCAAGAACGUGAUGCUACUUUAAAUCCGGUCUCUUGCACAUAUUUGAUUGCUUAUAAUUUUGAUGUGACACAAUAAUGGUCUGAUUCGACUGUAAUAUAAAAUACCUUAUCGAUCCUCUAGCUUCUUGUGUGCCUGGAUGGGUUCGAAGGCAGAGGAGAAGUCAUUACCAUUGCUUCUACAAACAGGCCAGACAUUUUGGAUGCAUCACUUGUGAGACCAGGGAGGUUCAACCGGAAAAUACACAUACCCAAGCCUGGACUGGUUGGCCGUGUUGAAAUUCUGAAGAUGCGGUUUGUUGCCUUCCAUCAGCAGUACUUUCAAUUGGUCUACGCGGUCUCAUUGUUUGGUUUCAGGUUCAUGCUAGGAAGAAAGCAAUGGCCCCUGACGUGGACUAUUUGGCUGCUGCGACUAUGACUGAUGGAGUGGUUGGUGCUGAGCUGUCCAACAUUAUCGAGGUUGCUGCUAUCAACAUGAUGCGCGAUGAAAGAACAGAGAUUACUAAUGAUGAUUUGUUACAAGAGCUGCACAAAUAGAAGAAAGAGGAAUGCUUGAUAAUAGAGAGAACAGCCCCGAGAUCUGGAAGCAAGUAGCUAUAAAUGAAGCUGAAAUGGCCAUAGUUGCUGUCAAUUUCCCGCAAGUAGCUAUAAAUGAAGCUGAAAUGGCCAUAGUUGCUGUCAAUUUCCCGGAUCAUAGAUAUAUCUAUCGAGUUUUUAUGUUCUGGUCUUUCAGUUUCAGUUGCUUCCUUAUGCUCCCUUCUAUUUUAACCUAGAAGCAUUUUAUUAGAGUUCUGUUAAUCAAAUGGGAAAUUCUAAAGUAUUGUCGUUUAUUUUUCGUGUCAGGUGACGAUAUCUCGAAGAGCUGGAAUGGAUUUAGGAUACGUCCGCCCCCUCUGUAUUCCUGGGGAUCUUCAAUUAAAGACUUUUAAAACAACUUUAAACAUUGGUUCCAAUGUUUUACGCAAAAAAACAUGUUUCUUCACCCCGGGACUCCCAGCAGCCAGGAACAGAGGUAUGGGCUUAUAUUCUCAAUUGGUAACGCACAAUUUUUCUGAUUGAAGACCGAGCUUCGUCCCUAGAAUGCAAACGAGCAGCUCCGUCCUGAGUUUGUUCUUGAAUCCGGCCAACACUUUAUUUUCUCAAUUGUGUUUUAGCAAUUCCUCUUUUGGUUUGAAUCAGUACUCUAAUUGGGCCAUACAUAAUAUUUUAUUGGUAGGUAUGAUAAUCUUUGGUUAAUUAUGUAA